CUUUGCCCGUCCUCGUCCCCGUUCUCACAGACAUCUCCAGAGUAAGACAAAGCCAUGUUGGCACCGAGGAGGGCUGGCAAUAAAGGGGGACUGAAAGAGAAGAAAGCCCCGGGACAAUCUGGCUGGGCCCAGUAGAUUCAGUUGCUGCAGCAACAGAAAGUCAAACAAUGGAGAGGGGAGGGACAGCCAUUUUCUUCACUCUGUCCAGUUGUCAUGGAUACUGAGAUUUUUAUAAGGAAAGGGGUAAAGGGUUUUCCUUUAUGCUUUAAAAAAAACCGGUGUCUUUUCAUUUGCUUGGCCUGUAUCCUUGCUCUGGGUUAGGGACCUUCCGUUCAGAGCCUUACUGGAACCAAACAAGCAACUAGGUGACCUUCUGGACACCAGCUCUGAUGUCAGUUAUGUGUAAAGCCAGGCAGAUGGGUCCAGAUAGUCCUGGAGAUUUCCACCUACUGAAAUGUUUCCAUACUUAAUUUCUACUCAGAGAACCUGAAGUCACUUCUAACAGUAUCUCUCAAGACCGAUACAGUUGAGCUCCAUCUGCCCUUCUAACAUCGGCGGCCUGGCAACAGUGUCUUGCUAAGCUGGGAAACAUGGUAUGGUGAGAAGGUCUCUAACUUCGGUCAAGACUCAGUUCUGCCACUCUCCACAAUGACUCUGGGCAAGGUGCUUCAGAGCACUAUCCCAGCAUGGCCUUGUCCUGGACUGCAUGGGGUUCAUUCUUCAUCCUCAAUGGUCAGGAGCCACUUCCAACAGGUGCCCAGGGAGGACAAAGGAUCCAGGUAUGCUUGUCUAGUUCAGGUUUGAGGUUAUCAGUUAUUUCUUUGUAGCUUCAUAGCUUGAAAUCUAAAGAGAAGGCUUAGAUAGGUUUCUACUGUACCUGCUUGUAUUCUAAUGCCAAUUACGUUCCCCAAAAACAUGUUUGAAGGAGAACACACGUAGCUUCUGGGUACCUGCCCCCAGUUGAUGCUGAUUGGUAAGUAAAGAUGCCAACAGCUAAUAGCUGAGCAGGGCGGACAGAGGAGGGAUUUUAGGAUCCCCAAGCUUGGGGCCAGGAAAAGAAGAGGGAGAAGGAGAUCCGCCAAGGCCAGAGAGCAUGGAGGAGAGAAGAGACGUCAUGCCUGAGAAGAAUGCAGGACAAAGAAACAUGGCCACCAUGGGAAGGAGCCGGCAGAGCACAGUCCAGCAGGCUGCCCAACUUGGGUCCAGAGCAGUAAAAGGUAGAACACAGAAUUUAGGAAGUAGUGACGCAGAAUUAUCGGCAGGAGGUGCAUUCGAUCAGCUGUAGCAGUUAGGCAAAGGCCCAGCUAUUGUGCUGAUUAAGGCAUAUUAAAAUAUAAAGGCUGUGUGUGAAUGUCUUUCAUUUGGGAACAUAAACCAUUGGGUCAGGUAGCGAACCCACUGCUGGGAUUUAUUUAUUUAUUAAUAUGUAAUUCAACAUUCCACCACUCAUUAAAUACAUGACUUGUAAGAGGUGAACUUUGCUAAUACAAACAUCUUGGCUGGUGAUAGGUUUGUAUCUGCUAUACCCAGAAGAUAUGCAAAAGAUCAUAAGUCAAACAUGCAAUUCCCCUAACCCACUGAGUAUCUUGACUUAGGCCAGUCUAUCUUACAUGUGUUCAUAACAUAUGCAUUAUAUUUUGGUUGGGCAAAGCCAUCUAACAGAAGGCCUACUUUAUAAUGAAGGACCGAACAUAUCUCAUAUGCUUGACUGAAGGUGAAAAUCAGAAUGGUUAUAUGCUGUGCUUUCAUUCCAUUAUAAAACUGAGAUCAGUUAAGUUGAACCAUCAUAAGCCAGGAGCUGUAUGUGCUUAGCUUCAUCAUCCUCAAAACGUAAAUAUUAAUCCUCGUGGAAUUGAUAGGACAAGCCAAAGUACAUGGGAAGCACUUUUCCUAGCAAGAAUUAAAGACUAACGGCAGCUAUACUUCUCAUAGCGCCUUCUAGUAUCAACUCUACUACAAUCUUAC
rnacentral:lncRNA from 1 species